ensembl:snRNA U6 U6 spliceosomal RNA
GUGCUUGCUUCAGCAGCAUAUAUACUAAAAUUGGAACGAUACAGAAAAGCAUGGCCCUUGCACAAGGAUGACACGAAAAUUCGUAAACGUUCCAUAUUUUU